UCAACAACGGAUCUCUUGGCUCUGGCAUCGAUGAAGAACGCAGCGAAACGCGAUAAGUAAUGUGAAUUGCAGAAUCCAGUGAAUCAUCGAAUCUUUGAACGCACAUUGCGCCCGCCAGCAUUCUGGCGGGCAUGCCUGUUCGAGCGU
rnacentral:rRNA from 1 species